GGGGGGGGGGGGGGGGAGGGGGGGCGGGGGGGGGUGGGGGUGCGGCGGGGGCGGCGGCGUGGCGGCGGGGGGCGACGGAGUUAGGAGUGCCUCGGAACGUGCCCAGGGGUGGUGGAUAUCCCGGCGAACCCCGGAUUAAUACCGCGUAAGCCCGAGGGGGCGAAGCUGGAGACCUGAAAGCCUCGCGCUAUUGGAGCGGCCGAUGUCGAAUUAGCUGGUUGGUGGGUUAAAGUCUUACCAGGCCGACUAUCCGUAGCUGAUCUAAGAGGACGAGCAGCCACACUGGGACUGAGACACGGCCCAGACUCCUACGGGAGGCAGCAGUGGGGAAUUUUGGACAAUGGGGGCAACCCUGAUCCAGCCAUGCCGCGUGCGGGAAGAAGGCCUUCGGGUUGUAAACCGCUUUUGUUCGGGAAGAAAUCCUCUGGGCUAAUACCCCGGGGGGAUGACGGUACCGGAAGAAUAAGCACCGGCUAACUACGUG
rnacentral:rRNA from 1 species